UUUCCAGACUCCUACGGGAGGCAGCAGUGAGGAAUAUUGGUCAAUGGCCGAGAGGCUGAACCAGCCAAGUCGCGUGAGGGAUGACGGCCCUACGGGUUGUAAACCUCUUUUGUCGGGGAGCAAAGAGAGUCACGUGUGGCUCAUUGAGAGUACCCGAAGAAAAAGCAUCGGCUAACUCCGUGCCAGCAGCCGCGGUAAUACGGAGGAUGCGAGCGUUAUCCGGAUUUAUUGGGUUUAAAGGGAGCGUAGGCCGGUCUUUAAGCGUGCCGUGAAAUUUUGUGGCUCAACCAUGAGAGUGCGGCGCGAACUGGAGACCUUGAGUGCGCGGAAGGCAGGCGGAAUUCGUGGUGUAGCGGUGAAAUGCUUAGAUAUCACGAAGAACCCCGAUUGCGAAGGCAGCCUGCCGCAGCGUUACUGACGCUGAAGCUCGAAAGCGCGGGUAUCGAACAGGAUUAGAUACCCUAGUA
rnacentral:rRNA from 1 species